AUGCUGACAUAAGUAACGAUAAAGCGGGUGAAAAGCCCGCUCGCCGGAAGACCAAGGGUUCCUGUCCAACGUUAAUCGGGGCAGGGUGAGUCGACCCCUAAGGCGAGGCCGAAAGGCGUAGUCGAUGGGAAACAGGUUAAUAUUCCUGUACUUGGUGUUACUGCGAAGGGGGGACGGAGAAGGCUAUGUUGGCCGGGCGACGGUUGUCCCGGUUUAAGCGUGUAGGCUGGUUUUCCAGGCAAAUCCGGAAAAUCAAGGCUGAGGCGUGAUGACGAGGCACUACGGUGCUGAAGCAACAAAUGCCCUGCUUCCAGGAAAAGCCUCUAAGCAUCAGGUAACAUCAAAUCGUACCCCAAACCGACACAGGUGGUCAGGUAGAGAAUACCAAGGCGCUUGAGAGAACUCGGGUGAAGGAACUAGGCAAAAUGGUGCCGUAACUUCGGGAGAAGGCACGCUGAUAUGUAGGUGAAGUCCCUCGCGGAUGGAGCUGAAAUCAGUCGAAGAUACCAGCUGGCUGCAACUGUUUAUUAAAAACACAGCACUGUGCAAACACGAAAGUGGACGUAUACGGUGUGACGCCUGCCCGGUGCCGGAA
rnacentral:rRNA from 1 species